GUGCCAGCCGCCGCGGUAAUACGUAGGGUGCGAGCGUUGUCCGGAAUUAUUGGGCGUAAAGGGCUCGUAGGCGGUCUGUCGCGUCGGGAGUGAAAACGCCGUGCUUAACACGGCGCUUGCUUUCGAUACGGGCAGACUGGAGGCAUGCAGGGGAGAACGGAAUUCCUGGUGUAGCGGUGAAAUGCGCAGAUAUCAGGAGGAACACCGGUGGCGAAGGCGGUUCUCUGGGCAUGUCCUGACGCUGAGGAGCGAAAGUGUGGGGAGCGAACAGGAUUAGAUACCCUCGUAGUCC
rnacentral:rRNA from 1 species